UUGGAAGCUCACUGGCUUCGAAGUCAUGAGAACUCCGAAGUUAAGCAAGUUGAGGCUAGAGUAAUCCCAGGAUGGGUGACCCACUGAGAAGUUGCUCGUGAGCUUCCAGA
rfam:Prunus persica cultivar Lovell chromosome G8, whole genome shotgun sequence.